GUACAGAUAGCUCAGUUGCUUAGAGCAUGGUGCUGAUAAUGCCAAGGUUGCAGGUUUGAUCCCCAUAUGGGACA
rnacentral:tRNA from 1 species